rnacentral:rRNA from 1 species
UCCGGUGGCUAUGGCGAGAGUGACCCACCCGUUCCCAUCUCGAACACGGUAGUUAAGUCUCUCAGCGGCGAUGGUACUGCAACAUAAUGUUGUGGAAGAGUAGCACGCUGCCGGAA